UACGUAGGGUGCGAGCGUUGUCCGGAAUUAUUGGGCGUAAAGGGCUCGUAGGCGGUUUGUCGCGUCGGGAGUGAAAACCUCGGGCUUAACUCGGGGCUUGCUUUCGAUACGGGCAGACUGGAGGUAUGCAGGGGAGAACGGAAUUCCUGGUGUAGCGGUGAAAUGCGCAGAUAUCAGGAGGAACACCGGUGGCGAAGGCGGUUCUCUGGGCCUGUGCUGACGCUGAGGAGCGAAAGCGUGGGGAGCGAACAGG
rnacentral:rRNA from 1 species